AUUGAACGCUGGCGGCAUGCUUUACACAUGCAAGUCGAACGGUAACAGGCCUUCGGGUGCUGACGAGUGGCGAACGGGUGCGUAAUGCAUCGGAACGUACCCAGAGGUGGGGGAUAACGCAGCGAAAGCUGUGCUAAUACCGCAUGUGAUCUGAGGAUGAAAGCGGGGGACCGAGCAGCAAUGUUUGGCCUCGCGCCUUUGGAGCGGCCGAUGUCGGUUUAGCUAGUUGGUGGGGUAAAGGCCUACCAAGGCGACGAUCCGUAGCUGGUCUGAGAGGACGACCAGCCACACUGGGACUGAGACACGGCCCAGACUCCUACGGGAGGAAGCAGUGGGGAAUUUUGGACAAUGGGCGCAAGCCUGAUCCAGCAAUGCCGCGUGCGGGAAGAAGGCCUUCGGGUUGUAAACCGCUUUUGGCAGGAACGAAACGGUGUCCGCUAAUACCGGGAGCUAAUGACGGUACCUGCAGAAUAAGUACCGGCUAACUACGUG
rnacentral:rRNA from 1 species